rnacentral:rRNA from 1 species
UCCUACGGGAGGCAGCAGUGGGGAAUAUUGCACAAUGGGCGCAAGCCUGAUGCGGCCAUGCCGCGUGUAUGAAGAAGGCCUUCGGGUUGUAAAGUACUUUCAGCGGGGAGGAAGGGAGUUAAGUAAAUACCUUUGCUCAUUGACGUUACCCGCAGAAGAAGCACCGGCUAACUCCGUGCCAGCAGCCGCGGUAAUACGGAGGGUGCAAGCGUUAAUCGGAAUUACUGGGCGUAAAGCGCACGCAGGCGGUUUGUUAAGUCAGAUGUGAAAUCCCCGGGCUCAACCUGGGAACUGCAUUUGAUACUGGCAAGCUU